GACAAACACAUUAGGGGCGUAUUUGAUCACACCUGCAAUGGGUUCCCAUUUUGUCAUAUACUUUGCCAAAAUGAAAGUGUGAGUAAAGCUUGAUUCUUUUUCGGUUUGUCAACACAUAUGGAGUUUUGCUACUGCUACUAAUGACGAUGCUGGUGAUGCUGCUCCACAGACCAAACCUAUGGAUUCUCCACAGCU